CCUACGGGCGGCAGCAGUGGGGAAUAUUGCACAAUGGGCGCAAGCCUGAUGCAGCCAUGCCGCGUGUGUGAAGAAGGCCUUCGGGUUGUAAAGCACUUUCAGCGGGGAGGAAGGCGUUAAGGUUAAUAACCUUGCCGAUUGACGUUACCCGCAGAAGAAGCACCGGCUAACUCCGUGCCAGCAGCCGCGGUAAUACGGAGGGUGCAAGCGUUAAUCGGAAUUACUGGGCGUAAAGCGCACGCAGGCGGUCUGUCAAGUCGGAUGUGAAAUCCCCGGGCUCAACCUGGGAACUGCAUUCGAAACUGGCAGGCUAGAGUCUUGUAGAGGGGGGUAGAAUUCCAGGUGUAGCGGUGAAAUGCGUAGAGAUCUGGAGGAAUACCGGUGGCGAAGGCGGCCCCCUGGACAAAGACUGACGCUCAGGUGCGAAAGCGUGGGGAGCAAACAGGAUUAGAUACCCGUGUAGUC
rnacentral:rRNA from 1 species